rnacentral:sRNA from 1 species
ACGGACUUAUUCCGCGACAGCACGGGAAUUACUUUUUUUGUAAUGUAAAUAUCAGUAGAAUCUCAGCAUGUGGAAUAUCAGUUGUAGAGUUGUGUGUGUGUCAUAUACAUAAAAUGUAACAUCUUGUACAAGCCCCUUCAUGUUCAGAAAACAUUCUUGUUAAUCUAACUGUUAUUAUAUGCCAAAAAACCAGCAGCCUUUUCCAGAGUGUAUUCACAUCUGUUGUUGACUGUAUCGCACAGUUUUUUUAGGGUGUUUUCAGCAAUAGACUUGUUGUACAGACCUUGUUUUGCUGUUGUUAAUUUAAUGGCUAAUACAAGAAAGAAGCUUCUAAUUA